AUAUGGGGGUGCAAGCCUUGUACGGGGUGUCCCUCAAGAAGCAAAAUGUAUGGGCUUAGGUGUCAAAGCCCAAAGAGAAAUGCAGCCAGGUGCAGGGGGGUUGAACAAGUAAAUUGGGAUGAUGGUGAUGAAAACAAACUUAGGCCCAAUGCAGUAAGCCCAUCAAAAUAUGGCAAUGAAUUUGAGCACAUGGUGAAUCAAUCAGCUUCCAAGUCAACAGGCACGUGGGAUGAAAUUGAAUUCAAAAAAACGUGCUAGUCUCUAAUUCAAAACUUAGGGCAACGUUCAUCCACCACCACCGUGGGCCAUCGCACCGGAAAUCGCCUCCGACAACGGUGGCCACCAGAAUACAAAAUUGAACCCACCAUCUUGUUCGUCUCCUUCCAUUCUCCACGAAUUCCCUAUUGAUUUCCCUUAAUUCUACUCCUAGAACCCUAACCGCUUGGAUCUCCUCAAGAAGCUUGACAUCACAUACCUAAAUUAAAUCUUACUCCCAAAGAAUCAGAGCCCAAGGGAUUGGGGCUUUGAUUCCCAAAGUUCUCCUCUACAUUCUAGCAACCAUGACUGAAGAAGAAGAAAAGUUUGAGGUUCACCUGGCCGAAGACUUCGAAGCUAAUGACAACAAUCAUGCUCUACUUCUAAGACUGCAUUGUUGGGUUGUAGGGAGUUAGCAGCUAGCAGGUCUGUUGUGGCUUUGUUUUGUUAUUGAUGUAUUGGAUUAACUACUUGCUACUGACUGCAUGAACUGAUGUAUUGCCUUGUUGCCAUGGAUGUUGAACUGCUAUGUGAUGGCCCUGUUUGUUGAUUGUUUUGUUGAUGUCCAUUAAUCUUGCAAAGUGCCAUGUCUGUUAUGAGUAUUUUGACUGUUCUGAAGUAUGACUCUUUUAGGGCCAUCUGCAGGUUCAAUUUAGCUGCAACUUGUAUUGUUCUGCUGUGAUGUGAAGCCCUUCUAGGCAUUCUGGAAGUGAUUUAAUGUGAUGCUUGGUAGAUUGGUUCAGUUAUUGAGUUUAUGUUGCAGUUUGGUCAUGAUCUAGUGAACUGGUUCUGCAUCAUGGUUGCAGUUGGAUUCUGACUUACCUCUUGCAGGUCUGCUAUGCCAAAGCUUCUGCACAUGUAGCAUGAUGAAUCAUGCAUUUCUAGCUUCAGUUCUGACUUUACAGCAUGCUUUGCCCUAUUGCCCUGUACCAUUAUGACCUUGUUUCAUGCUAAUGUAGGUCAUGGCUUCAUGCAUCUUGCUUGGUCUAUGUCCCUUAAUUAGGUAUGCCAUUAAAUGGACAAUGGUUAAAAAAGAGUUCAUGGCAUCAAAGUUGGAAUUUAAAGUAUCCAUCUACCAUUGGCAAUCCAAAGAAACAAGAUAGAAUUUGAAGAUAAGGGUUAGGAUUAGGAUGGGGAUUUUGGUAUGAAAAAAAAAGGUUGGGUUGACUUUGGUCAAAGUUGACCAAAAAGUCAACUGUUGGCCAAAGUCAACAUUUGGUCAAAGUUCAAAAUUUGUAUUUUUUUCUCAUGGAAUAUGCAUUUGUCUGAUUGUGUAAUGAAUGAUAUUGGUAUUUUGAACGAAAUGAGCUUGGUUCUUGAAUAAAUGACUUUGAUUAUGAUCU